rnacentral:rRNA from 1 species
ACGGAGCCCGAGGAGGCCGCAGAAAAAUGGCUCUUGCGACUGUUUAAUAAAAACACAGGACUCUGCAAAGACAUAAAAUCGAUGUAUAGGGUCUGACGCCUGCCCGGUGCCGGAAGGUUAAGGGGAGGGGUUAGCCGCAAGGCGAAGCUCUGAACCGAAGCCCCGGUAAACGGCGGCCGUAACUAUAACGGUCCUAAGGUAACUCUGAAAAAGAGCUGCCUUGCCCGGUAGUAAUACCGGGUCUCACACUUGGCUGUAUGCGGGAACACCCUUAAGCUUUGUCUACCAGUCACUUUAAGUGGCGGUAAAAAUGACAGAGAUUGGGCAAUCCGCAGGAAAUCCUGCGCUUAAGGCAGGUGCAGGAGAUCCUCAGAGGCCAUACGCCAAGUAUCCAUCUUGAGGCAGGAGGAAAAUAUGAAUUUGUCUCCUGAUUGGAUAGUUGGGUUCGUCGAUGGAGAGGGAUGUUUUUACGUGAGUGUUCAAAGUCAUCCUGAGAUGACUGCUGGUUACCAGGUCUUGCCUGAAUUUGUCGUGGUGCAGCACAUGAGGGAUAUACAGAUUCUCUAUGCCCUGAAGAGGUUCUUUCAGGGUGGCGUGGUUAGAGUAAAUCAUGAUGACAGAUAUUCUUACCGGAUCAGGAAACUAGAGCAACUAGAAAGGAUUUGUGAGUUCUUUAUGACGCAUCCACUGAAGACCAAGAAGAACAUUGAUUUCAAAAAGUUUCGGAAAAUAAUUUUGAUGAUGAAAGAGAAAAAGCACCUAACUAAAGAAGGAUUAAAAAAAAUAAUUGACCUGGCCUUGCAAAUGAACACCACUGAACGUCCUGCUCUGGAAAAGAUUAAAAGAACCCUUGAAGAUGGAUAAAGAUAUGGUCCACUCCAGACAGAAAUGUCCGGGUAAAGUGAGCGAAAUUCCUUGUCGGGUAAGUACCUGAACUUGCCCCUUUCCCAAGCAAUUGGGCUUGAAACACCGGCUCAUAUCGGAGGAGCCCUCCUACUCUGUCAACACCAGAGUGUGGGGUAAUUCCGAGGGAACCUUUGGCUCUAAAGCCAUUGGACCCGUAACGACUGACCCGAAAGGGGAGGCGCACGGUCCUCCUGUGCGCAACACGCCGGCCCUCACGAUUGUCUGGUUCCUAUGGAGGCUUCCUUCACAAAAAGGAGGAGAUAUGAAAUUAGAACCCUGGUAUGUCACGGGAUUGUGCGAAGGUGAGGCCAGCUUCAGUGUAAGCUUCAACUGGAGGCAGAAGCUGAGUGUUGGCAUAGAAACUCGGCCCUCGUUUUCAGUGACCUUGAAUUCCCGCGACCUGGAACUUAUCAAAGCUCUGAGGAGCUAUUUUCGCUGUGGUGCAAUCAGGUUUUUACGGUUCGACAACACCUACAAAUUUGAGGUUCGCUCUAUUGAUGACCUGACACGGAAAGUAAUACCACAUUUCAAGAGGUAUCCACUCAGCGGAAGUAAAGCCAGGGAUUUUGAGGCCUUUGCCAAGAUAUGUGAAAUGGUCAAGGCCAAUCUCCAUCUGAGUAAAAAACAUUUAAAAGAAAUCAUCGGGCUUGCGUACCAAAUGAAUCCGUCGGGAAAGCACAGGCUCACGAAGGAAGAACUCCUAAGGGAACUCGGUGAGGUGAAGGUAUAGUCUACCACCUGUGGAAACACAGGAAAGAAGGUGAAGUUCCGACCCGCACGAAAGGCGUAACGACAUGAGCGCUGUCUCAGAGAGGGGCACGGCGAAACUGUGGUACCGGUGAAGACGCCGGUUACCUGCCGCUGGACGGAAAGACCCCGGCACCUUAACUGCAGCCUAGCAUUGGAUUUUGGAAUAUGAUGCGCAGAAUAGGUGGGAGGCUGUGAAGCCGCACCUCCGGGUGUGGUGG